AGCCGAGCGCUUGGGAGGCGU
rnacentral:misc_RNA from 1 species